UACAUGGGGUGCAAACGUUGCUCGGAAUUAUUGGGCGUAAAGCGCGCGUAGGCGGUUACUUAAGUCGGAUGUGAAAGCCCUCGGCUUAACUGAGGAAGUGCAUCCGAAACUGAGUAGUUAGAGUACGAAAGAGGGUCGCGGAAUUCCCGGUGUAGAGGUGAAAUUCGUAGAUAUCGGGAGGAACACCGGUGGCGAAGGCGGCGACCUGGGUCGAUACUGACGCUGAGGUGCGAAAGCGUGGGGAGCAAACAGG
rnacentral:rRNA from 1 species